rnacentral:lncRNA from 1 species
CUCGCAUAGCAUUGUGCUGCAGGAUUGCUCAGCGCGCUGGACCAGGGAUGUCCAAUCCUUUUGAUUGUAAAAAACGAAAGCAAAUCUGGAGAGGUUCAACCACUGUGAAAAACUAGAGCCGUGUUGGAGCGCUGUCACAGAGACAUAACUCAGAACGCAUCAACAGUUGUUGUCAACUCUUCACUUUGUAACCUGAAAUCAUCUGCGAUGCUGGGAUGCAAAUCUUUAGGUUCGGAAAGUGGCUGAAAGCUGAGCUGUAAAAAUAAAGCCUGAGAAACAUUUCUAAUUCCGACACAGUCUCCAUGUCUUUUCUACAUACGCACAUGUAUGCACAUGCAUUCCCAAGCUGGCAUAUAAGCCCACGAGCUCACACGUACCUUCGCGGGCACCCUCAGGCAGAACGUGUUCUGCAGCAUGGAUGGCACACGGGGUAUUUCUGAAGGCAGAACCAGAAGACUGCAAAUCCACACUUCCACCCACUAAUGAAAAAAAAAAAAGCCAAGAAAACCUCAGUAGAGAUUGAGUUUUAUAAUUAAUGCUGAACAAUUUUCAUUGACAAAGCAAAACGAAGCAAGUGGAAGGCUGAUUUAAAUGCUGAAUGAUUAACGCGUGGCGAGGCGGCUGAGGAAAGAGACAAAUUCGGGAGCAGCUAUGGAAAUUUAUGUAUGAGAGAGUCAGCACCAUAUUCUGAUCUCAGUUACACAGUUGUAAAUCUGUUAUCUUAAUGGAAGUAUUCGGCUCUUAUAUUUGCAUACCAAUGCAGACCCACCGCCUCACAGAAAUCUCCUCGCUGUCAUGAAGGCUUACAUACAAAUUCUGCACAAACGAACAGAAAGCGGAACCUGGGAAUGAUGGAAAGGCAAAUUGAAUUCAGAUUUGAAUUUUGUAUUUGAUGCCUGUAUACAAUGGGGAUGAGUGCACUGAGAAGCAAUGCACAGAUAGGCAGACGGAUCUCCUGCCCGUGCUCCUAUUUUAAAGACCCAUUCAUUUUGCACCUGAAGGAUGAAUUCUUCCUCCCACUCUCCUCCUUCCUCUCAUCUUCUAUGAUUUGCGUGAUCUUUGCUGCAUACCUUACAAACCACUGUUGACCUUCGCCCAGGGCUUCAAGGCAAUUUCCCAAAUAAAUUUCACCGGAUCGAUAAACUCCCAUUCUGUUUUCUUUCCUAAACUGAGGGAAAGGGGGAAAAAAAUGAGAAAAAGUAAAUGUUUUCUUUUUAGCCAAAUGGAACAGAAAUCCGAGUUUAACAGAGGUACCCAUCUCAGAAUUCUGAGGGUGCACACGGAAGCCCUGUAAUUCAGCUGGUUUGUAUUAUCAUUUUGCUUUCCCUUUCUGAAAAAGUACGCAUUUGGAGCCCUGAAAAAUGGCAUGCACUGUUUUGAACCCCUUGAAAGGUGCCCAUACAAGGCAUCACACAGCUGUCCUUCGUGACUGUUAAAUAUUUAUCAGCAAGGCAAAUUCCU